AAGUCUUGACAUCCCGAUGACCGGUGCAGAGAUGUGCCUUUUCUUCGGAACAUCGGUGACAGGUGGUGCAUGGUUGUCGUCAGCUCGUGUCGUGAGAUGUUGGGUUAAGUCCCGCAACGAGCGCAACCCUUACGGUUAGUUGCUACGCAAGAGCACUCUAGCCGGACUGCCGUUGACAAAACGGAGGAAGGUGGGGACGACGUCAAAUCAUCAUGCCCCUUAUGACUUGGGCUACACACGUACUACAAUGGCAGUCAUACAGAGGGAGGCAAUACCGCGAGGUGGAGCAAAUCCCUAAAAGCUGUCCCAGUUCAGAUUGCAGGCUGCAACCCGCCUGCAUGAAGUCGGAAUUGCUAGUAAUCGCGGAUCAGCAUGCCGCGGUGAAUACGUUCCCGGGCC
rnacentral:rRNA from 1 species